rnacentral:rRNA from 1 species
CCUACGUUAUUCAGCAGUUUUUAAUAUUUUACAAUUUUUUAAACCCUUAUCCAUCUACUCCUCUUUAUUGAAGAAGUAUUUCUUUACUUAAAGCUCUAUCAGCAGGAAAGAAAAUGACGGUACCUGACUAAGAAGCCCCGGCUAACUACGUGCCAGCAGCCGCGGUAAUACGUAGGGGGCAAGCGUUAUCCGGAUUUACUGGGUGUAAAGGGAGCGUAGACGGCAGCACAAGUCUGGAGUGAAAUCCCGGGGCUUAACCCCGGAACUGCUUUGGAAACUGUGCGGCUGGAGUGCAGGAGGGGUAAGCGGAAUUCCUAGUGUAGCGGUGAGAUGCGUAGAUAUUAGGAGGAACACCGGUGGCGAAGGCGGCUUACUGGACUGUAACUGACGUUGAGGCUCGAAAGCGUGGGGAGCAAACAGGAUUAGAUACCCGGGUAGUC